UCUGCUGGUUAUGUGUACCCAGUGCUUGGCACAGUGCCCAUCAUAUAAAGCUGCGACUGAGGUGCUCAAUGACCAGCCACAACCACAAAGCCUUGGUGGACAUAAACACAUCCUGUGACUGACGUGCUGCAGAGAUUGUGGAAUAGUGCUGGAAAUGUGAGAUACUGCUGCGAAUGUUGACACAGCUAUGGAAGAGCUAUGGAAGCAACGUUUCCGUAAAAAAUGCCAGCAUUAUGAAAUUGGCUCCUGUCAGCAGCACAUACACUCUCUGAACUUCGUGUUAGUUUUUUGAGU